rnacentral:rRNA from 1 species
AGCAGUCGCCGCGGGAAUACAGAGGGUGCGAGCGUUAAUCGGAUUUACUGGGCGUAAAGCGUGCGUAGGCGGCUUUUUAAGUCGGAUGUGAAAUCCCUGAGCUUAACUUAGGAAUUGCAUUCGAUACUGGGAAGCUAGAGUAUGGGAGAGGAUGGUAGAAUUCCAGGUGUAGCGGUGAAAUGCGUAGAGAUCUGGAGGAAUACCGAUGGCGAAGGCAGCCAUCUGGCCUAAUACUGACGCUGAGGUACGAAAGCAUGGGGAGCAAACAGGGUUAGAUACCCGUGUAGUCCCUGUCUCUUAUAC